GACGAACGCUGGCGGCGUGCCUAAUACAUGCAAGUAGAACGCUGAAGGAGGAGCUUGCUUCUCCGGAUGAGUUGCGAACGGGUGAGUAACGCGUAGGUAACCUGCCUGGUAGCGGGGGAUAACUAUUGGAAACGAUAGCUAAUACCGCAUAACAGUAGAUGUUGCAUGACAUUUGCUUAAAAGGUGCAAUUGCAUCACUACCAGAUGGACCUGCGUUGUAUUAGCUAGUUGGUGAGGUAACGGCUCACCAAGGCGACGAUACAUAGCCGACCUGAGAGGGUGAUCGGCCACACUGGGACUGAGACACGGUCCAGACUCCUACGGGAGGCAGCAGUAGGGAAUCUUCGGCAAUGGACGGAAGUCUGACCGAGCAACGCCGCGUGAGUGAAGAAGGUUUUCGGAUCGUAAAGCUCUGUUGUAAGAGAAGAACGAGUGUGAGAGUGGAAAGUUCACACUGUGACGGUAUCUUACCAGAAAGGGACGGCUAACUACGUG
rnacentral:rRNA from 1 species